rnacentral:lncRNA from 1 species
GGGCCUUCUCUCUCCCAGCCUCUCAGUAUUCUCAGCACUCAUUUGGAACCAAACUUGGGUCUGCUCUUGUCCUAGGCCCUGCAUUCCCCUUCCUGCCCGGUGAGAGGAUGCCCUGAGGGGAAGUGUAGACUGGGAACCCCAGUUCCCAACUCUCAGGUACACAGGAGACUUGGAACAACAGAAAUCGUCCAUACUCCGUUGUUUCCAAUCCAGGGAAACACAGAAUGAGGACUCCCACUAUGGACUGUGUUCUGCCACCCCUGAGCAUUGUGCUGGCACUCCUGGCAUCCCAGGAGCAAGGCAGACACGCAGCCCAAACACUUGUAUAACAAUUUUAUCUGCUUUUGAAUGAGGUUAAUUUUCUUUUUACAUAGAGAACUUUGACUUAGGGAUAGAAAAAGGCUAAGAGAAAAAAGAAAGUUGUUAGAGCUUGCACACUGGAGCUUUGCUCUAUCCACCAACUGUGCAUAUAUGUAUGUGUAUGCAUGCAUGUAUGUAUGUAUGUAUGUAUGUAUGCAUACAGAAUGGUUAGUUUGCUCGCUGGAACUUUCCUCUAUCCACCAAAUGUGUAUGUGUAUAUAUGUAUGUGUGUAUGUAUAUAUGUAUGUGUAUGUGUGUUUGUGGGUU